GCAACCCUGCAGUGCCCGUGAGCCACCUUGAAGUUCUGAGCCAACACCAACACAUAGGGAGCCCGGACUCUGGCCGUGGCUUGCAGGCCUGGCCCGGACCAGGAAGCAUAAAGCGGUCAGGAGGGCACCCACCUGCGGAGAGCGGGUUCAAGAAACUUUAGGGUACCACGGCACGGCGGGGUUUUU
rnacentral:other from 1 species